GGGGGGUGCGAGCGUUGUCCGGAAUCACUGGGCGUAAAGGGCGCGUAGGCGGUUUGGUAAGGCUGUGGUGAAAGCCCGGGGCUCAACCCCGGGUCUGCCGUGGCGACUGUCAGACUGGAGGGCUCGAGAGGCAGACGGAAUUCCGGGUGUAGCGGUGGAAUGCGUAGAGAUCCGGAAGAAGACCGGUGGCGAAGGCGGUCUGCUGGCGAGUCCCUGACGCUGAGGCGCGACAGCGUGGGGAGCAAACAGGAUUAGAUACCCUGGUAGUCCACGCCGUAAACGAUGGGCACUAGGCGCUUGGGGGAGCGACCCUCUGAGGGCCGGCGCUAACGCAUGAAGUGCCCCGCCUGGGGAGUACGGCCGCAAGGCUG
rnacentral:rRNA from 1 species